UUAUGUUAUUGUUAUUUUUUCAUGUGCAGGAGAGGUUCAGAGGUGAUCGGCGGAGAAAGGGAGUGGCGUGAGUGCGCAGGGGCGCAGGAGCGCACACGGAGAGACAGGAGAGGACAGGACAGGACAGAGAGAAGACAGGGGAGAGAGAAGAAGAAGUUAGGAUCAUGAUGGAGCAUUCUGAAGUGGGUCAGCAGCAGAGUGGGACAGGUGCAGCAACAGAGUCGUGGUCCGCCUUCACCUUGCAAGCUACCAGCAGCUGAGCCGUGGAGGCUGCAACCUGCUUGGCAGAACAGAUGAGCUUCUCCUCGCUGGCGUGGCCCUGCACUGAAGCGUUCG